rnacentral:rRNA from 1 species
UGCCCAGACUCCUACGGGAGGCAGCAGUGGGGAAUAUUGCACAAUGGGGGAAACCCUGAUGCAGCGACGCCGCGUGAGUGAAGAAGUAAUUCGUUAUGUAAAGCUCUAUCAGCAGGGAAGAAAAUGACGGUACCUGAGUAAGAAGCCCCGGCUAACUACGUGCCAGCAGCCGCGGUAAUACGUAGGGGGCAAGCGUUAUCCGGAUUUACUGGGUGUAAAGGGCGUGUAGGCGGGGAAGCAAGUCAGAUGUGAAAUUCCAGGGCUCAACCCUGGAACUGCAUUUGAAACUGUUUUUCUUGAGUGAUGGAGAGGCAGGCGGAAUUCCGUGUGUAGCGGUGAAAUGCGUAGAUAUACGGAGGAACACCAGUGGCGAAGGCGGCCUGCUGGACAUUAACUGACGCUGAGGCGCGAAAGCGUGGGGAGCAAACAGGAUUAGAUACCCGUGUA